rnacentral:rRNA from 1 species
GACGAACGCUGGCGGCGUGCUUAACACAUGCAAGUCGAACGGUAAGGCCCUUCCUUUGUGGGGUGCUCGAGUGGCGAACGGGUGAGUAACACGUGAGUACCCUGCCCUUGACUUUGGGAUAACUUCAGGAAACUUGGUCUAAUACCUGAUAGGAGCUCCUGCUGCAUGGUGGGGGCUGGAAAGUUUCGGCGGUUGGGGAUGGACUGGCGGGUUAUCGGCUUGUUGGUUGGGUAGUGGCAUACCAAGGCUUUGAAGGGUAGCCGACCUGGGUGGGGGACCGGACAAAUGAGGACUGAGAUAGGCCCCAGACUGGAAUGGGAGGCAACGGUGGGGAGUAUGACACAGGGAGCGGAAGCGUGGUACGACAACGCCGGGGUCGGAAUGAGGGCCUGCGGGUUGUAAACCGCUUUCGGCUGAGACGAGGCGUGAGUGACGGUAAUGGGAGAAGAAGCACCGGCUAACUACGUG